UACGAAGGGUGCAAACGUUGCUCGGAAUUAUUGGGCGUAAAGCGCACGUAGGCGGCCAACUAAGUCAGACGUGAAAUCCCUCGGCUUAACCGGGGAACUGCAUCUGAUACUGGAUGGCUUGAGAUUGGGAGAGGGAUGCGGAAUUCCAGGUGUAGCGGUGAAAUGCGUAGAUAUCUGGAGGAACACCGGUGGCGAAGGCGGCAUCCUGGACCAACACUGACGCUGAGGAGCGAAAGCCAGGGGAGCAAACGGG
rnacentral:rRNA from 1 species